GGGGAACCUGCGGUUGGAUCACCUCCUUACCUUAAAGAACCUUUCCCUGCAGUGUCCACACAGAUUGUCUGAUGAAAAGUAAAUAGCAAAGCGUUUUGCGAGUGAGACUUUGUGUCCCCUUCGUCUAGAGGCCCAGGACACCGCCCUUUCACGGCGGUAACAGGGGUUCGAAUCCCCUAGGGGACGCCACUUGCUGGUCUGUGAGUGAAAGUCACCUGCCGAUGUAUCUCAAACCUUAUUCCUGAAACAGCGAGUCAUGUCUGAGAUAUUUGCUCUUUAAAAAUCUGGAUCAAGCUGAAAAUUGAAACACAGAACAAUGCGAAUUGUUCCGUGGGUCUCUCAAAUUUUCGCAAUUGAUGGUGUUUUACGAAACAUCUUCGGGUUGUGAGGUUAAGCGACUAAGCGUACAC
rnacentral:misc_RNA from 1 species